AGGAAAUUCUAGUUUGAAUUGACUUCUUUUUUCACCUAACUUGGCCUAACUUCAAAGCCUAUAAAAACAACCUUCGAAAGGACUUUUAAAAAAGGAGAGAGAAUAAAAUACCAGAUUGACAACUGAGAGUCAAGCCACAAAGUCAUUGAAGCUAAAAAGAAUCUGAAAAGUUCAAGGAGAUUUGGAUAUCAAGAAUAUAAUUCUUGAGUUUUUCUAUCUUUCUUUAUUCUAUUAUUCUCUUGGUUUUGUUUUUAAUAUUUAAAUUUUAUUUGAUGAUGAUGUGUGACUUGAUGGAGAACUAAAUUGUUUAUUUAAGAUUAUGAUUGAACUUAAUACGUAGUCUGAUUUAUUUAUCUCUCUUUUACUUAUGUUUGAUAGAUUUAAGUUAUUUAUUUUAUUCUGCUCUUAAUGCUUCUAAUUGCUUGAUCACCAAUUAGAUUGAAUUGGAAACCUAGGUUAAACAUUGACGAAAGAGAUUUAGGUAGACCUUGAAUAGAAUAGCAUAUGAUGAAAUGCACUUAGUUGAUUAGGUGAUUUGAUUUACAUAUAGGGUAGACAUACACCUAUAAGCCAUACGUAGCCUACAUUAGAGCACAAACUUAAUGAAUCUUUCUUCAAUUUAAUUUGCAUAGACAUAUAGUAAAUUAGUUGAGAGAGGUUUAUUUUUUAGAAACUCGACAGAGACUUCUAAAUAAUUUAGGACUCCAAGUUAACAACUUAAUCCAUUAAAUUGAGUUAAGAGAGAGAGAUAAUAUUCAGAUAAAGUAUUGAGAGAUAUAAUAAUCUUAGGUCUGGUAAUCACUAGAAGUUAAUAAAAUAAUUCUAUUGAUAUAUUUUAGAUUAAUUGAAGUUAUUAGUUUAUUAAGUUUUAAUUUUAAUUAUAAUUGUUUAGAUAAAAUUAAGGUGUGUUAAUUUUAGUAGUUAAUAGUAAGAAGCAAUUCAAUUCUCUAUGGGAUCGACACUCUACUGACCAUUAUAUUAUCUUUGUGAUACGUACACUUGUGUGGGUAGAAAAUUGAACAACAAGUCUUUGGUGCCAUUGCCAGGGAAUUGAUUUUUAGUUCUUUCUUGUUAAUAUUAAUACGAAGUAUUCCUAAUUUUAAUCCAGACUUUUCUUUUCUUUAAUUUUUUAGGUACUUUUGGUCAUUGUAUGCGAAGAGCCUAAAAUUUGAAAAUUGUUCAUUUUGAUCCAAAAGUAAAAAAGACUUUUUGAAGACUGCAAAAGAAAAUUAAAAAAAGUUUCUACUGCAAGUAAAAAAGUGGCUAAUUAACAAGAGGAAGAUACCAAGCCUUUAAGGGAUUAUGCUAUCCCACAAGUACAAAAUCUCCACUCUAGUAUCCAAAGGCCUCAUAUUCAAGCCAACAACUUUGAAAUUAAGCCAUCAAUCAUUCAAAUGAUUCAAACUACUGUUCAGUUUGAGGGUUUGCCUAAUGAAGACAAUUGCAAAUCAAUCAACAAGGAACUAUGACCUUAAUGCUAAAUGUGGCUAUCACAUGGGGCAAUUAAACACUCAGCGGAGAAGUGUAGGCAAUUGAAGGAGAAAAUUGAAAUUCUCAUGAAUGAUGGCAUUUUGACUCUUUAGCUUAUGGAACAUUGGAAAUCGGCUUUGCUAUAGAUUGAGCUCUUUUUGGGAAGUUAAAGAAAAACCUUAAUUUUCAAACAAUUGCUUGCAGGAAAAGUGGAUGAUUUGGAGUUUUUAUUUUGUAUUCACGUGUAUGGCAUGAGUAGGAAUUUGUUAAGGAAUAUAAACUUCAAAAGUUGUAAUUAAAGCUUUAAUGUUUUUGUUGAAUUAAAAUUUUUGAAGCUUUAUGUUUAAUUUGCAAAAUGAUGUGAUAUAUUAAUUUAAGAAAGGUUUUCUAUAACUUGUUUCGAAGAUCAUAAAAUUGAUAGGACAAAAAGUCAUGAGGGGAAAAUGGUUUUGACAAAAAGUGUGAACAUGAUUUUGAAAGAGUUGAUGGUUACUUGAUAACUCUAUGAUAUAGAGUUAUUUGAGCUUAAUUUUAAUAGUAAUUUAGCUUAGUUCUUGUAGUUAUGCAUAGAAAUUAGUAGGUUUUAUUUAAGUAUUUUAAAUUAGUUAAUUUAGGUGAGUCAAUCUAAUCAUAGUUAAUUUUAUACUUAAUUUGGUUUUAAUGUGGUUAAUGGAGGUUGUUAUUGAUUUAUUUGUGCUUUUGUAGGUGUUUGAUGAAUGAAGAAUUUUAGUGAAAGAAUGAGAGCAAUUUUGAGGUGCAGACUUCUACUGCAUAUGUUUUGGUUUUCUGGCCAUAACUCUCCUUACAGAGCUCCAAAUGAAGCAAUUCUUGUACCAUUAGAAAGAUAAGAGAAAAAUAUAAAACUUUUAUAUUUACCAUUUUUCCCAUUUCGACACGGAAGAUGGUCAACAAUCUUAUUGAAAUUGAUGCACUAUAGUAGUCCUAGAGCAAUUACUAUUUCUGUUAAUUAAUUACGCAAGGCUGCGACCCAUAUAGUCUGAUGAGGAAAUCCCAACUAAAAUUGACUUCUUUCUUCACCCAACUUGAUGUAACUUCAAAGCCUAUAAAAACACCUUUCGGAAGACUUUUAGGGAUAGAACAAAACACCAGAUUGACAGUUGAGAAUCAAGCCACAAAGUCAUUGAAGUUAAGAAGAAUUAAAAGGAAACAAGGAGAUUUAGAGAUCAAGAAUACAAUUCUUGGGUUUUUUCUAUCUUUCUGUUAUUUUCUUAUUUGUCUUAAUUUGAUUUAAAUGUUUAAACUUUAUUCAAUGAUGAUGUGUGACUUGAUGGGGAACUAAAUUGUUAAUAUAAGAUUAUGAUUGAACUUAAU
rnacentral:lncRNA from 1 species